UAAAACCCCACAUCAACCCCCCUUCUCUCUCUCCCUAUCUGCAACACCACCGCCACCGUCAUCAUCAUCUUUACCAACCACCCACCACCGCCCUUUCCACACCACCCUCUGCCGUCUCCCUUCAUUCCCCCUUCUCACCACCACCACCAUCAACUCCUAUGGCGGAAGCCAACCGGCCAGAGAUUCAACUCAAAAUCAACUCCAGACCCGGUAUCGGAAUCGAAAACAUCAUCCGCCGGUUGAACUUGAGUCAUCACCGACACCUUUUCUGGUGGCAACAACCGUCGGAAAACAAAUGCAAACACCGUCACCGUUUCAAGAAAUUAAGCAUGAAUGUAUCCAGAUCUGUUUAAAUGUGAUGAAAAAUUGAAAGAUCUGAUCUUAACUUUUGCUCCAAACAUUACAGCAUGACUCAAAUGAUAGACAAGUACUUGAAAGCAACUGGAUCUCGUAUUACUCAUCAAAACAACCAGACCUAGCAGAAACAUAAAUGUUCAAUGGACCAUCGAGUUGAAUAUUAAUUGUGGUUCUGUACUUUGGGUCUUCGUUUUCAUUACUCAACUUAAACACAAAGCAACCCAACAAGAUGGAAGAGAAGAUCUUCAUCUGCCUGUAUGCAAAUUCUCGGCCCAAACAAGUUCGUGGUCCAGCCUGUGUGUGAACAAGAAAAAUUGGAAAGGUUAGUAGCAUAGUAAUAAAACUAUUAUGUAAAAUUGAUUGCAAUUAAACAUAUUUUUUAAUUUUACUACUUUUUUUUACCAAGUAAUAUAUUGCAUGCAACUAGAUUUUGUUGACAUGCAUCGAUCAAAAUUAAGCAUCUCGUUGUUCUACAUCUUUAUAUAUAAUAAUAAAUCAACAUAAUCGGGACAGUGAUUUUUCUAAAAAUCAAAAUGUGUCAUUCUUAUUGAUAUUAAACUCUUAGUGGCAUUACAUUCUUCAUUUACAUUGUUCGUUUUCCUCUAUCAUAACUUUCAUAAACACAGGUGUUAUUUUUCGUAUUGUUAUUUUUUUUAUGUUUUAUAAAGCUACUAAUAGUUAUUUAUCUUAAACAAUCACAGUGUUAAUAUAAUCUGUGCUCAUCCGUUUAUAAUUUAUGUAAGACCAAUAAUAUAUUGUGGUAUUUUUAUAACAAAAUACAUUAACAAGCACCUAAAACCAUUUUACUAUCUAAUUUCAUAUCGCAAAUAUUUCUAUUUGAUUAAAUAAUACCUUUUUAUUAUUUUUUUCACAUCAUAUAUAUUUCUAUUUGAUUAAAUAAUACUUUUUGAUUAUUUUUAUAUUACUUGGUCUCUUUCUUACACUAAAACGUUAUAGAGAUGCAUACGAAGAAUAUAUAUUGACUUUAAUAUAUUGAGAUCCACUUUAACAUUUUUAUAUAUUUUGUUCGUUUUAGAGAAGGGGAUACAUAAAGAUUUAGGUAGUUUUACCAUUCUCUACUUUACUUUCAAGCUAGUUUUAAGGAUGGAGAUAGGGAUAGAGACUCUAGUGUGAGCCUCUUAACAAUUAUAAUUGCGAAAAGCCGAAAAUAGUUGGAAAAACUAAUCAAGACAGAAUCGUUGUAAUAAUGGUAUUCUAAUUAAAUUAGCGUCUAGUAUGUCAAUGAAAAGACUAGUUGGUCGCAAUAAUAAAUGGCAAAAUGAUUAAUAAUUAUAUAUCUUGUCUAGUAUGUAAACUUGAUGAAUAUAAAAUGAUAAGAAAUGACCUGAAAAGCAGUAAAUUUGAAAGGGCUCUGUGAGUGGAAGCAACCAUUCUGAUCGAGCCAGCGUUCUGGUUUGAAUUCUUGUGCAUCAUCUCCCCAUAUAAACUUCAUCCUCCCCAUUGCAUAUGGCAUGUAAGAUAUCAUGUCGCCCUUCUUCACAAUACAACCAUCUGGUAGAACAUCAUCUGAAAAACAUAUCUUUGGAUCCUGCAUAUAUAAUCUCAUAACUUAGUGUUUCAAACACAAAACGUCGUGGUUUUAGAAUUUUUAUUGUAUUUCCGAAUGUUUCGGUAAGAAUAUAUAUGAUUGCCUUCAUUUGCAACACAAUAUCUAUAAGUCGCUCCGCUUCAGGCUGGAAAUAAAACAAUAUUUCUUCACCUAGCUAGAGAUCAUCUUGUAACUCAACACGCAUACAUGACAAUAUAGAUCGACAACAUUCAAUGUUUCUGCGUUCAAAUCAUUUUAAAGUGAAGUGAAUAUUAUUGGAGGAGCCCUAUCCCACAUCGAAAGAAUAAGACCUUCCGGUUGUAUUAAUAAGAUCUUGGGUUACUCCCUCUAUCACCAAUUGGUUUUAGAGUGGAACCCCAUAGACUUCAAUAUGGUAUCAGAGCCACGGCUCUAUGUCAGCUCCAGUUAAGGCCACGUGUACACCUCUUGAUAGACCGGGUUACACGUGCGGGAGGGUAUUGGAGGAGCCCUAUCCCACAUCUAAAACCAAUUGGUGAUAGAGGGAGUAACCCAAGAUAAUACAACCGAAGGUCUUAUUCUUUCGAUGUGGAAUAGGGCUCCUCCAAUAAAUAUAUUAUUAAGAGUAAAAUGCACGGAUAGUCCUGUGGUUUUGUAAAAUAAUGAUGGUGAUAGAGGGAGUAACCCAAGAUAAUACAACCGAAGGUCUUAUUCUUUCGAUGUGGAAUAGGGCUCCUCCAAUAAAUAUAUUAUUAAGAGUAAAAUGCACGGAUAGUCCUGUGGUUUUGUAAAAUAAUGAUGGUUUGUUACUCGGAUAGUCCCUGGAGUGGAUAGAAGUUAGUUUUCUUAGUUAAGUGGAUGUGAAAUGACAAAACUACCCUUCCUAUUAAAUAUAAUAACUUAAACAUUAAAAGAAUAUAUUUUUUUAUUAUUUAUUUAAUAAAAUGAGGCCCACCAUCCUUAUCUUGAUCAGCCAAACCCACCCGUAUAACCCUCACGAAUGUCACCAUCUUUAUUAGAUUUCCAGAUCUUGAUUGGUUUGAAUAAAUAUAAUAACUUAAACAUUAAAAGAAUAUAUUUUUUUAUUAUUUAUUUAAUAAAAUGAGGCCCACCAUCCUUAUCUUGAUCAGCCAAACCCACCCGUAUAACCCUCACGAAUGUCACCAUCUUUAUUAGAUUUCCAGAUCUUGAUUGGUUUGAAUGGAAGAUGAAACAAUAAUUGAUAAAGUAUUUCACAAGACCAAGAUUUCAAGAAACAAAAUACCAAAAAAAAAAAAUCAAAUAAAAACCCUAACUUUAU